AGGGAUCAGACUGGCAUAAUGAAC
rnacentral:sRNA from 1 species